rnacentral:tRNA from 1 species
GGGGAUAUAGCUCAGUGGCAGAGCACUUGCCUAGCAUACAUGAGGCCUUGGGUUCAAACCCCCAUACCA